UAGGGAAUUUUGGGCAAUGGGCGAAAGCCUGACCCAGCAACGCCGCGUGUGGGAUGAAGGCUCUCGGGUCGUAAACCACUGUCAGGAGGGAAGAACAGCAGCGGGGGAAAUAUUCCCGUUGUUUGACGGUACCUCCAAAGGAAGUGCCGGCUAACUCCGUGCCAGCAGCCGCGGUAAUACGGAGGGCACAAGCGUUGUUCGGAAUCACUGGGCGUAAAGCGCGUGCAGGUGGUUCGGUCAGUCGGGUGUGAAAUCCCCGGGCUCAACCCGGGAACUGCAUCCGAAACUUCCGAACUCGAGUCCCGGAGAGGAAGGCAGAAUUCCCAAUGUAGGGGUGAAAUCCGUAGAUAUUGGGAGGAAUACCAGUUGCGAAGGCGGCCUUCUGGACGGUGACUGACACUCAGACGCGAAAGCGUGGGGAGCAAACAGGAUUAGAUACCCCCGUAGUCC
rnacentral:rRNA from 1 species